rnacentral:rRNA from 1 species
GAUGAAUGCUGCCGGCGUGCCCAACCCCUGCUAGUCGAGCGAACAGACGCGGUGCUUGUUCCUCUCACGCUAGCGGCGGACGUCUCAGUAACCCGUGGACAACCUACCUAUAAGACUCGGAUAACUUCGGGAAAACGGAGCACAUCCCGGCUCAUAUAUCGAACCGCAUGCUUCAAUAGCGAAAGACGCUUUUGCCGUCACUUAUAGAUGGAUCCGCGCCGCAUUAGCUAGUUGGUAAGGUAACGGCUUACCAAGGCAACGAUGCGUAGCCGACCUGAGAGGAUGCUCGGCCACACUGGAACUGAGACACGCUCCCGACUCCUACGGGAGGCAGCAGUAGGGAAUCUUCCACGAUGCGCGAAAGCCUUACCGUGCGACCCCGCGUCAGGGAUCGGCGUUUUCGGUACGUAAAACCCUGUUAUUAGGGCAAAGCUCAUGUGUAAGUAUCUAUGCACUUCUUGACGAUACCGUAUCAGAAAUCCACCGCCAACCUCGUC